GGAGAGACAGAUUGAGGGAGACAGAGGCUGCUUGUGGUCUUACCUGGAACAUGAAUUCUAAUUAAGCUGCUCCGUGACUGGACAGCCAGCAUGGAGGCCAGGUAGUGCUGUAGGCUUCAACUGCCACCAGUUGGGAGGCAAGUCAGGAAUGAGCUCCUACACCUUUAGGGUGGAAAGAGAAGGAAGCAAAGGCUCAGCUUGAGAACUUCCGGGUGCUAAGUGGAGGUGAAAUACAGAAGUAUUAAACUGUGAACUAGACACAGCUCUUACCCUGUAAGAAUUUUAGGGUGGUGGAAGAGACAAAUAGGCAAUUUCAGUAUAUUGUUGCCACAGUCAGAGGUAAAUAAAUUCUUGGGGCCAUGGAAGCACACAAGAUCUUCCAACCCGUGUUCUGGGGAAGAAGAUGAAUCCAGGGAAAUUCCCCUAGAGACGUUGGCGAAGAUGAAGGGCAAGGAAGACUACACAAACUAUUGAGCACAACAAGACAGGAGGUAAUCCAAACUCAACUCAGCGAAGUGGCAGAGAAAACUGCCCAUGGAGGAAGAACAGCAGGGUCUGGAUGCUUCUUGCUUCUCACCCAAUGCUCUAGGACUAGCCAUUCUGAGAGCACCAGCAGGCCACCAUUGCAGAAGGAC
rnacentral:lncRNA from 1 species